GAUCCUGGCUCAGAGCGAACGCUGGCGGCAGGCUUAACACAUGCAAGUCGAGCGGGCGUAGCAAUACGUCAGCGGCAGACGGGUGAGUAACGCGUGGGAACAUACCUUUUGGUUCGGAACAACACAGGGAAACUUGUGCUAAUACCGGAUAAGCCCUUACGGGGGAAAGAUUUAUCGCCGAAAGAUUGGCCCGCGUCUGAUUAGCUAGUUGGUGAGGUAACGGCUCACCAAGGCGACGAUCAGUAGCUGGUCUGAGAGGAUGAUCAGCCACAUUGGGACUGAGACACGGCCCAAACUCCUACGGGAGGCAGCAGUGGGGAAUAUUGGACAAUGGGCGCAAGCCUGAUCCAGCCAUGCCGCGUGAGUGAUGAAGGCCCUAGGGUUGUAAAGCUCUUUUGUGCGGGAAGAUAAUGACGGUACCGCAAGAAUAAGCCCCGGCUAACUUCGUG
rnacentral:rRNA from 1 species